rnacentral:rRNA from 1 species
AGUAAUGUCUGGGAAACUGCCUGAUGGAGGGGGAUAACUACUGGAAACGGUAGCUAAUACCGCAUAACGUCGCAAGACCAAAGAGGGGGACCUUCGGGCCUCUUGCCAUCGGAUGUGCCCAGAUGGGAUUAGCUAGUAGGUGGGGUAACGGCUCACCUAGGCGACGAUCCCUAGCUGGUCUGAGAGGAUGACCAGCCACACUGGAACUGAGACACGGUCCAGACUCCUACGGGAGGCAGCAGUGGGGAAUAUUGCACAAUGGGCGCAAGCCUGAUGCAGCCAUGCCGCGUGUAUGAAGAAGGCCUUCGGGUUGUAAAGUACUUUCAGCGGGGAGGAAGGGAGUAAAGUUAAUACCUUUGCUCAUUGACGUUACCCGCAGAAGAAGCACCGGCUAACUCCGUGCCAGCAGCCGCGGUAAUACGGAGGGUGCAAGCGUUAAUCGGAAUACUGGGCGUAAAGCGCACGCAGGCGGUUUGUUAAGUCAGAUGUGAAAUCCCCGGGCUCAACCUGGGAACUGCAUCUGAUACUGGCAAGCUUGAGUCUCGUAGAGGGGGGUAGAAUUCCAGGUGUAGCGGUGAAAUGCGUAGAGAUCUGGAGGAAUACCGGUGGCGAAGGCGGCCCCCUGGACGAAGACUGACG